CCUACGGGAGGCAGCAGUGGGGGAUAUUGCACAAUGGGGGAAACCCUGAUGCAGCGACGCCGCGUGAGUGAAGACGUAUCUCGGUAUGUAAAGCUCUAUCAGCAGGGAAGAAAAUGACAGUACCUGACCAAGAAGCCCCGGCUAACUACGUGCCAGCAGCCGCGGGAAAACGUAGGCGGCAAGCGUUAUCCGGAUUUACUGGGUGUAAAGGGGGCGUAGACGGUUUGGUAAGUCUGGAGUGAAAGCCCCGGGCCCAACCCCCGGACUGCUUUGGAAACUGUGUAACUGGAGUGCGGGAGGGGCAGGCGGAAUGCCUGGUGUAGCGGUGAAAUGCGUAGAUAUCAGGAGGAACACCGGCGGCGAAGGCGGCCUGCUGGACUGAAACUGACGUUGAGGCUCGAAAGCGUGGGGAGCAAACAGGAUUAGAUACCCGAGUAGUC
rnacentral:rRNA from 1 species